rnacentral:tmRNA from 1 species
GGGGGCGUAAAGGUUUCGACAGGGAUCAUAAGCCAUCGGAAGCGAGCAGCGGUGCGGGACCGCUAUAAAAUCCGCAAAAUAAAUUAACUAACAACAAUAAAGUUGCAUUAGCAGCCUAAUUUUGGCUGCUCAUCCGACCCGAAAGUACCACGGUUCGGCAAGGGUGUCAUUUAAGUGGUGAACGUGAACGGCGUCUUGCUCCUGACGCCGUCACGGAUUGGGAGCUAUCUGAAACAGAAGUUUGACAUUUAACGUCUGCGGAGGUAAAUUUAAACAAAUGUCUGCGCUCGGAGAUGCCGGUGAGGAGUGAUUUUUGGACAGGAGUUCGACUCUCCUCGCCUCCACCA